GGCCCCAUCGUCUAGUGGUUAGGACGCAAGGUUUUCAUCCUUGUAACGGGAGUUCGAUUCUCCCUGGGGCUGCCA
rnacentral:tRNA from 1 species